GCCAGCAUAGCGUAGGGGUUUGAGUCUUGGGCUAUGACUCAGGAGGCCAGGGUUCGAAUCCCCGCUCAGCCA